GAUCAUGGCUCAGGAUGAACGCUAGCUACAGGCUUAACACAUGCAAGUCGAGGAGCAUCAGGGUGUAGCAAUACACCGCUGGCGACCGGCGCACGGGUGAGUAACACGUAUCCAACCUGCCCUUUACUCGGGGAUAGCCUUUCGAAAGAAAGAUUAAUACCCGAUGGCAUAACAUGACCUCCUGGUUUUGUUAUUAAAGAAUUUCGGUAGAGGAUGGGGAUGCGCUCCAUUAGGCAGUUGGCGGGG
rnacentral:rRNA from 1 species